GCUGGCGGCGUGCUUUACACAUGCAAGUCGAGCGAGGCGGGUAGCAAUACCCAGUCGAGCGGCGAACGGGUGAGUAACGCGUGGAUAACCUGCCCUGAGGUGUGGAACAACCAGGGGAAACUCUGGCUAAUACCGCAUGAUACCGAGAGGUCAAAGGGGGCUCGCAAGGGCUCUCGCCACAGGAGGGGUCCGCGUCCGAUUAGCUAGUUGGUGGGGUAAUGGCCUACCAAGGCGACGAUCGGUAGCCGGCCUGAGAGGGUGAUCGGCCACACUGGAACUGAGACACGGUCCAGACUCCUACGGGAGGCAGCAGUGGGGAAUUUUGCGCAAUGGGCUAACGCCUGACGCAGCAACGCCGCGUGGAGGAUGAAGGUCUUUGGAUUGUAAACUCCUGUCAGCGGGGAAAAAGCGACCCGGCCUAAUACGCCCGGGGAGUUGAUUGUACCCGCAGAGGAAGCCCCGGCUAACUCUGUGCCAGCAGCC
rnacentral:rRNA from 1 species